rnacentral:lncRNA from 1 species
UUCUCACAACCCUCCCUUACAUACUAUGGCCACUUCCGCCGCAACAUCCUCAUUUAUCGGAACACGUCUUCCGGAAAUCCACUCUGGUGCGGCUAGAGUACAAGCCCGAUUUGGGUUUGGACAGAAAAAGGCCGCACCAAAAAAGGCUCCCAAAAAGCAAAUUCCAGACAGACCAUUAUGGUACCCCGGUGCCAAAGCACCGGAGUACCUAGACGGUAGCCUUGUUGGUGACUAUGGAUUCGAUCCUUUCGGUUUGGGAAAACCAGCUGAGUACUUGCAAUUUGAUUUGGACUCGUUGGACCAGAAUUUGGCUAAGAAUCUGGCUGGUGACAUUAUUGGAACAAGGACUGAAGUUGCUGAUGUGAAAUCCACACCUUUCCAGCCUUACAGUGAGGUGUUUGGACUAGAGAGGUUCAGAGAAUGUGAACUGAUCCAUGGAAGAUGGGCUAUGUUGGCUACUCUUGGUGCACUCACUGUUGAAUGGCUCACUGGUAUUACCUGGCAAGAUGCUGGAAAGGUACUACACACUUACCUCUCAGUUCAAUUUAUAUGAAAAUUCAAUUUAUAUGAUACUUUUCAGUAUAAAGUAUUUUCUAUGUCUUGAUUUAUGUGAUAUUUGUUGAGAAUAAUGUGAAGCAGUAAAUAGAAUUAGUUAGGAGUUGUAACAGAAUUAGUUAGGAGUUGUAAGUUCAUGAGUAAGUGGAGCGUACCUAACUUAUGUAUAUAUAGUUGAGUAGGCAUUACCUGUAACUAACUCAAAUAUUUUUUGUUCAAUAUCAAUUUUCUCUCUUUCUGUGAGUUCUCUCUCUUCCUCAAUGUACUGUUCCAUUGAACUUGAUCUCCAUUACUACGAUUUCAUCAUGAUAUUAGAGUUAGGCCCACCAGUUCAUUGUUUCGAUGUUGGCCCCCUUUCUUAUAUUGUUCACGCUCCAUGUCCAGUCCUGGGCGUGCGGGGUGUUGGAGUCCCACUAGGUUAAAAGGAUCCUUGAGCUCCUAAUAUGUCCUUGGGCAAUUCUUCUCUCAUGAGCUAGCUUUUGAGGUUGAGUUAGGUUCAAAGUCCAUUUCUUUAUCAAUAUUGUCUGACUUAUACAAAGCUUAUGGAAAAACGGAAGAUCUUUUAAAUUUAUUAGCUAAAAUACUCCUCAAUCAACUAUUACAUUCUUUUUUAGAUGGACUAGAAAAAGUAUUUUACAUAAAUUGAGAUAUAGCGAAUAUAAAUUAGAACGUUACUUUCUUUAAGUAAAUCUUAUUCCAUGUUAAUGCAUAUAUACUUCAUGAUACACGUAGUGGUGCUGCAUUCCUCUGAAUUAUAUAACCUCUAUGUAGUGGAAUGUUUCAAUAUACUUUUAUGUGAAAUUUAUGUUGAGCUUCACAGAAGAAUAAUAGCGUAGUGAUAAUUGGACACCAUUUAUCGAAAUCUUGGAUCCGUACUUUAUUUUCAACUUCAAUUCCACAAGUCAUCAUUGCAUUUAUUCAUGCUUCAUAUUUUGUUGUUUCCUCAUGUCAAUUUUGUUGUUUCCUCAUGUCAAUUUUGUUGUUUUUCUUCCCUUUCAUACCCUUCUUCCACUUGCUUGCCCACCACAUGUAAAUUAGAUUUUCAUUUAACUUGUUCAAUUAGAACAAUUCAAACAAAAUUUUAUUACUUAUUUUUAAUAUAAACUUAUUAUUAAUUAUAAUCAUUUACUAAUGUGUUUUUCAAUAUUAAAUUCAUUAUAUUUAAAGAGUGAUAUAAUAAAAUUAUUAUUUUAUUUAUUACAUAUUUACCAAGUUAAUACUGCACAAGUAUAAUGGAGAGAGUAAUUUCAUCGGGAUAAGAUUGGCAAUUAUUGUCACUCGUUUUGGUUGCUUUUUACUAUUUAUUGCUUCACUGUGAACAAAUAAUUAAAAUGAAGGUAUAAUUUAAAUAAAGUUUGAUGCCUGAAUAGUAGGUUAAAGCGCGUGUAUUUUGCUUGUGAUUAUUCAUUUCUCACUGUCCAUGGUUGCCCUAGUUUUCAAAUUUGUAACUUUAUUAUGUUGCUAGAUAAGGAAGUACAAAUCUAUAGUGCUAGCUAUUGGAAUACAUAAUUAGACAUUGUCAAUUUAGUACAAGCUUUUAUAGGUUAGAAAUUGCUACUUAAGAAGCAACAAAUACUUAUCUGCACUAGAGAGUUAUAUCGAACAAUAUUAAUUUGUUAUAGCUAAAAGAUUUAAUAAGGUGAGAAUAUAUAUUGGUUAAUUAUGAUUAAAUUAUAAAAAUUUAUGUGCACGCAUAUAUAAUACUAGCAAAAGUUGGCUUGAUAUAAACAUAGAGUAAGAAUAAAUUUUACAAUCUAAUUUGUGAAACUCUCUUUAUUGGAUUUACAUAGGUUGAGUUGGUUGAUUAUGAAUAUUGUUGGACUUGCAUAGCUUGAGUUGGUUGUUUUUGGUUUGAGUAUGAAUAAAGUGUUAGAAACUCUUUAUUGAUUUGAUAUAAUAUCGAGUAUGCAUAAGUUUUAUGGUCUUAUUUGUGAUACUCUUUGUUGGAUUUGGAUAGGUUGAGUUGGUUGAGGGAUCAUCCUACUUGGGACAGCCACUCCCAUUCUCCAUUACAACAUUGAUCUGGAUUGAGGUACUUGUCAUUGGAUACAUUGAAUUCCAAAGGAACGCUGAGCUUGACCCUGAAAAAAGGCUUUACCCUGGUGGAUCAUACUUCGACCCAUUGGGCCUUGCUGCUGAUCCUGAGAAAAAGGCCACACUUCAACUUGCUGAAAUCAAGCAUGCCCGUCUUGCCAUGGUUGCUUUCUUGGGCUUUGCCGUCCAAGCUGCUGCUACCGGAAAAGGUCCACUUAACAACUGGGCUACCCACUUGAGUGACCCGCUUCACACUACCAUUUUCG